ensembl:lncRNA
GUUGGGUGGGGGGAGGGAGGGAGGUUGGGUGGGGGGAGGGAGUGAGGUUGGGUUGUGUGGUUGGGUGGGGGGAGAGUUGCGUCCGUCAUUCAUGUUCCAGCCCCAGGUGUGCAGUAGAGGGCUUGAGAGUCUCCCAUAUGGGCCAGUAUGGAACCAGACCUGCACUCAUAUGGGCCAGUAUGGAGAGGAACCGGACCUGCACUCAUCUCAGCUCCACGGAUCUCUCCACAGAAGAGGGAGAGGGGUGGGGAGGGGGAGAGCGUUGCUUUGGUACACACUUGCCAAAGGCUCGCUGACUAUUAUGGGAUAGUGAUGGCUACAGCACUUCAUGAUAACAAAAUGGUUCCUCAUUAAGGAUGAAUUCAAGAAGUGUGGGAUGGAAUUUAAUUUGUUCAGAUGGUUUUUUGUUUGAUGUUGUGAGGCUGUAGCCUGGUGAGGUUGACCAGGAG